GCCUGGUUGGCUCAGUCGGUAGAGCAUGUGACUCUUAAUCUCAGGGUUGUAAGUUCAAGCCCCACAUUGGGUG
rnacentral:tRNA from 1 species